UCACCUUAAGCACCUGUGGAGGGUGGCCUAAUGCCAGCACUGCAAAAUAAAAGAGAAGGAGAGGGGGGAUGAAGAAAGGGGGAAGGAAGAGAGCGAAGGAUAAUCCUGUUAGCAAACUAAUCACUGUGCCCAGAAACCACACGGGGAGAGUGUCUAGGGAUGUCACGCACCUCUGCUACCAGGGAGGAACCUGCCGUGGCAGCAAGCUCAACAUUUAAGAACAGCAAGAGGGGACGUUAUCAGACAGCAGGAUGGGAGUCCAUUACACAUAAUCAGCCAAGACCGUUGAAGAGUGUUUUCCUGACGAGAAGAGUGCAGAGAGCAGGGCUUGACUGCAGGGUUCUGGCUCCAGUGCCAACACACCAGCAAGAGAUGCCUUGCCACAGAGGGAAGAACUAGGCAGUUACACCAGCAAAUGGAUACACAAAUUGGAGGAAACGGGCACAGUGGGAAUAAUUCCACGGCACAGCUCAUGACCAGAAGCUGAGAAAGAGAAAAGGAUCUCUGAAGAUUAACCUGGACCGGAAGACUCCACAUCUUGGCAUUAUUUAGGAAUAAAACAUUACUUUGUUUGAGUGCUUGAGCCAGACCAGAGGUGAUGCAUUUCCAUUUAAGCGUUAACACUGUAUUGCCCUUUCCAGAGAUCUUCAAUAUCAAAUUAAGUAUUUUGUUCUGUAAAUAAAUGUACUUAGAUUUUAUUUAGGCAACACCUUUUCCUUCUUUAUUUGGGUUGUUGGAGGUAUAGAUUGUGAUUUGUGAAACAGGUUUGUGUCAUUUUUGUUAUUGUAAAACAAUUCAAUAUUAGUCAACAUAAUACAAUUGUUGGCUUUAAAUUUGAUUGUGUAGUGUCAAUGCAUCAAGUACAGUAUGCCUAUGACUUAAAUGUUGUAAUAUGAUUGAAAGAGGUAUGAAGUUAAAUAUUUUCUCCUUUUAAAGACUAGUGUGCAUCUACAUCGCGUAUAUGAUACUGCUCUACAUGUGAACAUUUAAUUGAUUAGUUUUAGACCUGUUUAUAUGUUUAAUUAAAAAUGCACUAAGCAGAAAUCGCUCCGCCAUUUCCUAGUUGCUAAAAUUGUAAUAGUUCGCCUAAUUUUAGAUUAUGUGACAAAACGAGCAAGAAU